rnacentral:rRNA from 1 species
ACGUAGGGUGCAAGCGUUAAUCGGAAUUACUGGGCGUAAAGCGUACGCAGGCGGAUUGUUAAGCAAGACGUGAAAUCCCCGGGCUUAACCUGGGAAUGGCGUUUUGAACUGGCAGUCUAGAGUACGGCAGAGGGGGGUGGAAUUCCACGUGUAGCGGUGAAAUGCGUAGAGAUGUGGAGGAACACCGAUGGCGAAGGCAGCCCCCUGGGCCGAUACUGACGCUCAUGCGCGAAAGCGUGGGGAGCAAACAG